GGCUCAUCAAUCGAGGUUUAGAAGAUGGUUUCAUUAUUAGCUUUCGAGGCAAUAAAUAGCCUAAGUAGAAUGAGAAAAAAAAAUAGUACCCUAAUGGGCAAAAGGAAGGAAACAAAAUAAGGCUCAACCAAGACAAUCAGCUUAUAGAAAUAAAUAAUUAACCACAAUGCUAAUUAAUGAAAGACAACACAAAGAGCAUACACGGGGACACGACUUCUCAUCUUCCUCAUGUUCUAACUUCACCCCUCAAACGAUACGGAGCUUCCAGCAUGUUGAGUUUGUUUCUCAUCUCUUUGAAUUUUGCUUCUGAUAAACUACCGUAUAUCCAAUUGCUUUGCCAGCACCGUGUCUCGAAUGAAAUGGAGGUCAAUUUCGACGUGCUUACUUCUUGAAUGAAGAACUGGGUUGGCGGCUAAAGCAAGAUUACUGGUGUUAUCACACCAAAUUAUUGGAAGAAAGUGCGGCAACAACCCAAUUUCCUUUAAAAUUGAUUGAGUCCAGCUUAGUUCGGCAGUGGCGUGAACGAGGGCUCUGUAUUCGGCUUUGGUGCUUGACCGAGUCACCACCUUUUGUUUUCUAGAGGCCCACGAGAUCAAGGAGUUUCCAAGAAACACAAGAUAGGCUAAAAUUGAACGUCGAUCGUCUGGAUUGCAGGCCCAGUCAGCAUCCGAAAAGGCAGUAAGGAGCUAGUAUAUGUGGCGACUGUUAGCCAUUUUACACGUCGCGAGAUUCCUGGCGUGAUAUCUGUUGAUGCAUUAAUAAUGCUCUCCCAAACCCUUUCGAGGCCCGCACCAGACUCGAUUAUUAGGGAAUCGAAGACCUGCAAAAUCUAACAAAGCUAGACCGGUUUGACUCUUGUCACACGGGCUCCGACUCCUAAGUUAGCAAGGAGAGUAGUUGAGCAAUAGAAUUCAAAUGUAGAAUUUGGCUUACCUUAGGGUUAGGCUACAUGGCCUAUUUAUAGUCGCUCGCAAGGUUCUAGACCCCUCUAAAUAAGCCCUAGCUCGUCGCUACAAGGCCCAAGGUGCAUGGAGAUCAGAAGAGGGCGAUUACCUGGCUUGGCAAUGGGUCGAACCCAGCUCGGUACCGAGCGAUGCUCGGCUCGGUCCGGUUCUUCCGGUGGCCUCUUUGGUCCUCUCCUGUUUGGUUGGUCUAUUGCUUUGUCGUUUUUCCUCUGUAUAACAGUUGCCCCCUACUCCCAAGGCGAUGCUUUUGAUUUUGUCUCCAUCUCCUUGGGAGUAUGUUGAUAGGAGUGUUGGAGCGCGUGAAUAAGGAGCUUUACCGGGGGUAGUCAAAUCGUACUUACUCUUUCAUAUUUUGCUAAAUGGCAUAAAUGAAGGACCUUCUUGGCUGUCGCGCCCCCAUAGUUGUCGUGACUUGUCAUUCUAUGCCAGGUCCAUGACCAAGGAGGUCACGAACUCCUCUGGUACCGAGUGAAGCAUGCCUCGGUCUCAUGGUUGAAGUCCUUCAGUCAAAGCCAGUUGAGUUGCCCCAUCAUUGUGAGACUCGAAAGGGUCACGAGUUGAAUUGUCCCCUCCCCGUAAGAUACGUGAUCGAGAAUAUCACGGGUUCCUCGGGUACCGAGCCAAGUAAGCCUCGGACCAAUGUUCAAAGACCAUCAAACCAAGAGCUAUGCUCCUAUGUUGAAAGCUAUUUAAACCCCCUUCAACCCUUCCAAUGUCGAUCAUCCCUUCAACUAAGGUACAUUUCUCUUUACUUUGCUUUUGUUGUGUUUCCUUACCACUAUGACAUCUGAUCUUAACUUUGAAUAGACUUUUUCGGAUGACGGGUCAUCGUCGAACCCUUCUUCUGUGUCUCGACCUUACCGACCCUCUUGGGUAGAUUAUUCCACUCUUACGGCGAGGGACCACGUCGUUUGCAUUCGAAGUAUCGCAUUCCUGAUUCAGUUAGCCUUCACCUUCUGAAUCCAGGAGAAAGUAUUGGCGGGUCUUUCCUUUGAGAGGUUGUAUUUUAUGCAGCCAUGUUCCAAUUCGGUGUUCGUUUACCGUUGCCUCUAUUUCUUCAAAAUUUCAUAGCUUUGAAUCAAGUAGCUCCUUCUCAAAUUGUUCCCAACGGGUGGUCUACCCUGAUUAGUUGCUUCAUUUUGUGGUCCUACCUCGGGGGUGAACAACCUCUAACCGCAGCCCAUUUUAUGUCGCUCUAUUUCCUCAAGCAUAGCCCUGAGGAUAAUUUUCAUUUUUACAUUAGCUCUCGGAAUAAGAUUCUCGUUAUGGUUCCUUCCUCAGUGAAGCAUUGGAAGGACAGGUGGUUCCUUGUCGGUGGCGACUGGCUAGCCCGUGACGAGAGAGGAAUGCAUUUUUCCGUCCCGACUGAGUGUAGGGAGCUAGGUAAAGUAGAUUCCCGAGCUCUAUCGGGACUUUUCGUAGAUCUUUAUUCUGAUAUUUUUCUUCCUUUGUUGAUAGUUCCUCAUAAUUGUGAGCCUACUGCCGAGGCGUUUGACUUCUACCACACUUUCAUCUAGUUGCUGGAAACCGGGCGUUGGGGCCCGAAUCUAGUUAAGGAACAAAAUCUAGAAGACUUUGGCUUGGCUCCCCCUCAUUACCCUCCAGGUAAUCGCUGAAAACUAUUCCAAAUAUUUCAUGAGAGUUGAUUUUCACCUUCACCCAUUUUGUAGAAAUGUCGAGAUGGAGCGCCUCCCUAUUUGAAAGAGAGCGUCGCCGGAAUGCUUGGGACUCAGGGGUCGGCUCCAGUCGGACCUCAGACAUCGAGGUGACCGAUUUGACAGAGGAAGACCCUUCAUCUCGACAAGCUCGGCCUCCAAUGCCUUAUGCAACACCCCGAUGUUUUGCUUGGCUUCAAGGGACGACUAUCCCCUCUUCCUUUCGCAGUCACCCAGGGACCUCCUCUUAUGUUUCAAUUUUCCCUUUCUCUUGUCCGUACAACGCUGAUGUCGACAAGGCAAUUUAGCUGGAGAGAGCGUUUAGCCUUUGGCAAGGGCUCAGAGAAUCGUCGAGUGGGUCGGAUUUCGGCUUGUCGGAUCCUCGGCACAACAUCAAUGCAUGCAUUAGCGAUCUCCAUCAGGUUUUUAAUCGUCUGGUGGUAUUCUCGGGUCGAGUUGCAGAUGAGAUCAACCACCUUCGCUGUCAUUAUGCCCCUCAAGAGGAGUUGGAUCGAGCUCUCUCCUCCUUGGAUCAGGCCAAUAGCCUCUUGGAGAGCGCUCGACGUGAGUUGGAAACUGAGAAGAGAAAAUCCCGAGAUGAACUCGCCAACCUGCAAAUGAUGCUUGAUGAGGCCAACUCACAGCCCUCCAACUUUGAAUUCUUGGCCGGAGAAUUCAGGAAAUCGGAAGAGUAUGUUGAUUUACAGAAUGUUGCCAUGGAGUGUGGCGUCUCCUAGUCUCUUCGCCAAGUUUCUACCAAGCAUCCCAACAUUGACUACUUCUUUCUCCAGGAACGCUUUAAAGUCGAGCGUGAUGCCCCCAACGACAUGGAUGAUGACGACGACGAUGAGUAGGAUGGUGGAGAGCCACUUUGUCUGGUUGAUCGCUUUUAUGAUCUGGCUAUUGUUAUGUUGUUGUCUUGUCUUUAUUUGUAGCUACCUUUGGAAUUAUCAAUCAAUUCUCUAUUACCAAAAAUUAUUGGCUUACGGCUCUAACUUUGAUGGAGCUGAUUUUCGUUGCCUUUACUUCUCAUAGGUUUCUAACCCCUUGGCUGUGGCCAAUGGUUUUGUACCUUUAGCUACUGUUGUUUGGCUUUUGAUUUUGUUUCAUCUUGUGUUU